rnacentral:lncRNA from 1 species
CUCCAGUGCUGCGGGAGUUCUUCUAUUUUUGCUUCUGUCAACUUUGUCCACGAGCGGAGAACAUCCAAUGUAGAUGCUCAUGGCCUGGCGAGGGCUGCUUCCUCACUUGAUGCAGGUCGCCACGUUUGGCUGCUAAUGUCGCUAGACCCCUUCUGUAUCCCUACUCGUAUUCAAGUUUAAAUAAAAUGGUGGCUUCCCCUAAAACAAAACCUACACCCCUCAAAAAAAUUUACUCGGUAACUACAAAGAUCUCAAAAAAAAUCGAGGUAACUGUGCGACGGGAACUGAAAUUUUAGGUUUCUUUUUUGCAACCUACUAGCUUUGCCCCGUUACCCUAUUAAAAAAAACUAGCUUUGACCCGUGUAUACUCCCUCC